rnacentral:tRNA from 1 species
GGCUCGGUAGCUCAGUUGGUAGAGCAAUGGAUUGAAGCACCAUGUGUCGGCGGUUCGAUUCCGUCUCGCGCCA